GGCGGGGAGUGAUCGCCAGUGCAAGAAGCAUGGUGCAGGGGGCACGGACAAGGAGCGACUCCUGGCAGGCUUCGAGUGGAAGGGGCACAUGGACGAAUUGAACAUACACCGGAAUGAGAGGGAUCUGGAGACAGUAUAGGUAUGGGACUAUACAGUUGAAGGAUAGCUUAAAGGAAUUGAUUUGGCUACUCAUAUCAACAAAUGCAUUUGCUUUUCGGUAGCCUAACUCAUAAGA
rnacentral:lncRNA from 1 species